rnacentral:rRNA from 1 species
GACGUAGGGCGCGAGCGUUGUCCGGAUUUAUUGGGCGUAAAGAGCUCGUAGGCGGCUUGUCGCGUCGACUGUGAAAACCCGCGGCUCAACUGCGGGCUUGCAGCCGAUACGGGCAGGCUAGAGUUCGGUAGGGGAGACUGGAAUUCCAGGUGUAGCGGUGAAAUGCGUAGAUAUCUGGAGGAACACCGGUGGCGAAGGCGGCAUCCUGGACCGGCAUUGACGCUGAGGAGCGAAAGCCAGGGGAGCAAACGGG